rnacentral:rRNA from 1 species
CAGCAGCCACGGUAAUACGGAGGGCGCGAGCGUUACCCGGAUUUACUGGGCGUAAAGGGCAUGUAGGCGGCCUGGGGCGUCCCAUGUGAAAGGCCACGGCUCAACCGUGGAGGAGCGUGGGAUACGCUCAGGCUAGAGGGUGGGAGAGGGUGGUGGAAUUCCCGGAGUAGCGGUGAAAUGCGCAGAUACCGGGAGGAACGCCGAUGGCGAAGGCAGCCACCUGGUCCACUUCUGACGCUGAGGCGCGAAAGCGUGGGGAGCAAACCGGAUUAGAUACCCGCGUAGUCCCUGUCUCUUAUAC